GAGGGAAAGUUGCAAAGCACUUUGAAGAGAGAGUUAAAGAGGACGUGAAACCGGUAAGAUGGAAACGGAUAGAGCUAGCGUAUCUAGCUUGUAUUCAGCCGCCCUGGCUCGGGUGCCCUGUCUGCUGGUCCGGAAUCGGCCAGUUGGCGGGUGUCUCUCGGGUCUUGGUGGUGCACUUGCAAGUGGAGUGCGCUGAGGCCUGUGGGUCAGCGGUUGGAAGUGCGCUUUGAGGAUACCCUUCGGGGUAAAACCCGGGCGUGCCUAAGACUGUUUGGCCUGCUUGUACAUGAGCGUGGCCAACGGGUUUGGCUGGGGCUGAGCUGGUCGCCGGUUACGGUCGCAUGCGACACGUGCUGGUGGCUGGUUUGGUCUGGGUCUGGCUCCCUCGCUCGCCCUCGGUGUAAAAGCUAGUCAUCUAUCCGACCCGUCUUGAAACACGGACCAAGGAGUUUAGCGUAUACGCGAGUCAUUGAGUGAAAAACUCAAAGGCGCAAUGAAAGUAAAGGCAUCCCUUGUGGAGCUGAUAUGCGACCUCGGGUGCUUCGGUGCCCGGGAGCAGCAUAGCCCCGUCCCGAUCGCUUGCGAUGGGGCGGAGGUAGAGCGUGUUCGCUGAGACCCGAAAGAUGGUGAACUAUUCCUGAGCAGGAUGAAGCCAGUGGAAACACUGGUGGAAGUCCGAAGCGAUUCUGACGUGCAAAUCGAUCGUCUGACUUGGGUAUGGGGCGAAAGACUAAUCGAACCAUCUAGUAG
rnacentral:rRNA from 1 species